GCUCUAGGGUUUCUUCAUCCUUCAAUCCAGCGAUUAGGGUUUUCAUCAUUUUUUUCCAAUCAAACAAUCCAAGAUCCAAGUAAUCAACGCUCAGCUCUUUACGGAUCUUCAUAGAUCUUCAUAUCAACGCUCGAAUUCAAGGGUUUCUUGCUAUUCGAUCUAUUUACUACUCUUACACAUCAAUGUCGUCUCCAUCAAGGGAUCUUGAGAGUUUUUGCGCUUAAUUGAUGAUGAUAAGAUUAUGAUGAUGAUGAUGGUGACGCCGUCACCAACGAUGACACUAAGAGAAUAACAUUUGCAAGGGGUUGGAUUUGCAUAAGGAAGAACUGAAUGAUUCGACCAAUACAGAAUGGGUUAAAGUUCCAGACAAAUUGCAAUUGCAUAAAUAAUUAAUGGAAUGUAAGGCGAUGAAAUAACCUGCUUGCAAUAGACUCAAGAGAUUUAGAAAGAUUAAUUGAAGGUUAAUUACCACCAAUCUCUUCUGAGUAAGCUUAUCGAUCUUAGCAUCAGGGUUGAAAAAGAAAACUGGCUACCAAAGGGUCAUGUAUUGGUAUCACAUCUGGUGCAUCUACUCCGAACAAGGCUGUUGAAGAUGCUUCUAUGAGGGUGUUUGAGAUCAGACGCGAAGAAUCACUUCAGGUCACAUAGAGAAAAUUAGGUAGGAGAAAGAUUAAAAUCAUUUGGAUCGAAAACACAACAAAUUAACAGGUGACAUUUUGUUACAAAGGAAUAUUAAAGCAUUUAAACAAGUCGGCGGAAUAUAUGUGGUGACUGAUGAUCAUGAUAAUGAUGAAAACAUGGUUAAAAGAAAUAAAAAAAGGUGAGCCCAUUCUCAAUGAUGGUCAGUUUCAGAUCUUAACAUCACACAAUCUCCGGCCGGGUAUGU
rnacentral:lncRNA from 1 species